rnacentral:tRNA from 1 species
GAGGUUGUAGCUCAGUGAUACAGCACUUGCCUAGCAUGUGUGAGGCACUGGGUUCAAUCCUCAGCACCACA